rnacentral:tRNA from 1 species
UCGGGGGUAGUUCAAUUGGCAGAACACCGGCCUUUGGAGCCGGCUGUUGGAGGUUCGAGCCCUCCCCCCCGAGCCA